rnacentral:tRNA from 1 species
AGCUCAGUUGGUAGAGCAUCUGACUUUUAAUCAGAGGGUCGAAGGUUCGAGUCCUUCA